rnacentral:rRNA from 1 species
AUUGAACGCUGGCGGCAUGCCUUACACAUGCAAGUCGAACGGUAACAGGUCUUCGGAUGCUGACGAGUGGCGAACGGGUGAGUAAUACAUCGGAACGUGCCCGAUCGUGGGGGAUAACGGAGCGAAAGCUUUGCUAAUACCGCAUACGAUCUACGGAUGAAAGCAGGGGACCGCAAGGCCUUGCGCGGACGGAGCGGCCGAUGGCAGAUUAGGUAGUUGGUGGGAUAAAAGCUUACCAAGCCGACGAUCUGUAGCUGGUCUGAGAGGACGACCAGCCACACUGGGACUGAGACACGGCCCAGACUCCUACGGGAGGCAGCAGUGGGGAAUUUUGGACAAUGGGCGAAAGCCUGAUCCAGCCAUGCCGCGUGCAGGAUGAAGGCCUUCGGGUUGUAAACUGCUUUUGUACGGAACGAAAAGACUCUUUCUAUUAAAGAGGGUCCAUGACGGUACCGUAAGAAUAAGCACCGGCUAACUACGU